rnacentral:lncRNA from 1 species
UGACCCUGAGCACUGCUGGUCACUGACAACCCUGACAGGUCCUUCUGAGGCCUUCAGUGCUUUGUUAAAAAGAAAGGAAGAAACAAUAAUUAAGUUCUAGUCACAUCUCUCCUCUUCCCAGAGCACUAUUCCUAUUUAAUUGAAUUUUUCAGCAUUUUUUAUCCUGGGAAGCAAAAUGGCAAGAGUCUCCUCUACAACCCAGGCAGGGAACUAAGCUGCUGAGAAGCCUGGACACCAAGUAAGGAUGAGGCCCACAUGAGAUGAGCCAUGAGCAGUCCAAGUGCCUGGCUGUCAUUCCAGAUGAGACAAGGAGUGGCCCCUCAGAGCAGGACCUGUGGUGGCACUGGAUAGGUGGGACCUGCUGGGUGGGAAGGGCCCUUUUGGCCCAGUGCUGGGAAGCACCUUUUACAGGCAACAGGCUUUACCUGUCUGGCAGCUCAGGGAGCCUCUGGCAAUUGCUGAGGACCCACUGUACUAUGAGAAAUCUGUAGUAAGAUCAAGCAAAGCCAGAGGGGGAAAGAUUGGAAUACAGAAUCAGAUGGGCAACAGAGAAGCAAACAGAGGAAGAAAAAAGUAUGUGGCAACAGAACACACUGAAUCAGCCCGCUGCAGACAGGCAGGUCUGUGCAUGCCCUGCCGAGGUCCCGAGUCGCCUGGAAGACACCGAAUCACCCCGCUGCAGACAGGCAGCCACCUGGUUCCACACUACAAAGACGCAGAGGACACCAGACCACCAGACCAAGCUUUGUUUCUAUUUUAUCUGUCUUUUCUCAUGUUUUCCCCUUUCUUCCUCGGCCCCUUCCCCCUUCCUAGUGCCCCUUCCCAUUAACUUUUUUAUGCACAAUAUCUCAAUGUAUUAUUGUUAAAUGAAUUCAUACUAUGGACAGUACAGUCAAAACAAUGUAAUGGCUUCUUUCUCCAAUGCUUGGGUUGUCUUAGAAAAGCCAUCUUUUCCGGAUGGGUAAUUCAUGUUUUUUGUUUGUUUGUUUGAGACAAGGUCUUGCUAUGUAGUUCAGGUUGGCUUUGUACUCAUGGCGAUUCUCCUGCAUCAGCCUCCCAUGUGCUGGGAUGACAGGCAUGCACCACACCAGGCAAUGGGCAACUCAUAUGAAUGGCUUGUGAAUGACUUGGAUUCCUUAGGCAGUUUCCCUGAGGAUCUCACACGCACUUAGCCACUGGUCCCCCUGAGACCACAUGGUAUAGAUAAUGCUGUUCAAAACUUCUAGCGGAAGUGGAAGUAGAACAACACAUCCUGGGUUAUAAUGGAGCAGAUGGUUCAGGACCCCAGCAGCCAACAUGACUCCUCCUGCACAGCAGUCUGUUCUGUACUCAGCAAAGAAUCUCUUGUUGCCUCUGGGGAACUGAGUUAAGGAGGUUUUGCAAAUCCAUGGUCUGCUGCGGCCACUGCAGCAGCCAGUGUCCACCAUAGACAGUCACUACUGCCGGACCUCAUGCUUUUUCCACCCAAGCCCAGAUAUGCACCCGAUUCUUUCCCGGAAGGUGCUUGGAGGCAGCUGGCAGCCAUCGGCAUCAGCAUGUGAGAUUCACUUUGCCACAGGUUCACCUUUUAUGGGAUAACACAAUCAUCCUAUUAUAUUAUAGGCUGAAUUAUGUCUCCCUCAAAAAUUCAUGUGUUAGCCAGGUGAGGCGGCACAAGCUGUAAUCCCAAAACUCUGGAGGCUGAGACAAUCUGGGCAACUUAGUGACUUAAAGAGACCUUGUCUUAAAAAUAAAAUGCAGAAAAAGGUGUGGGAACCUAGUGAAGGCCUUGUUCAAUCCCUAGUAGCACACACCCACAAACACACACAAACACACACACACACACACACACACACACGUGUUGAAGCCUGAAUUCCCGUAUUUUAGAAUGUACCUGUACUUGGACCAGUCCUGUAAAGAAUAAUUAAAUUAAAAUGAAGUCAUUAGGGUGGGUUCUAACAGACAAUGACUAGUGUCAUUAUGAGGACAUCUAGACAUAGGCUAAAGAGGACAAGUAAUGACAUAAGGAGAAGCCAGAAUCUCCCAGCCAAAGUGGAAGGCCAAGAAUAGACAUGUCCUUCACAGUGCUCGGAAGAAACCAACACCGCAUGCUCUCGAUCGCAGACAUCCAGCCUCCAGGACUACAAGAAAAUUACUGUCUGGUGCUGGAACCACGCAGUCUGUGGUACUGUUAUUGCAGCCUGAGAAAACCAACACACGUCUCACAAAUAGGACAAAAGUACAAGUAAAACUACAAGUGAUUGAGAAAUGUUUCAAUUUCUUUUCUUUUUUAAGACAACAGUUUCUCACUAUGCAGUUCAGGUUGGCCUUGAACUCCUUACAAUCCUCCUGCCUCACCCUCCCUAGUGAUUAUAGGCAUGCCCCACCAUGCUCAGCUCAUGACUCCAACCAUAUGAAAUGGCUCUUCGGUGGGCAGAAUAAUGUCGGCCAAAGGCAUCCAUGAUCCAGUCCCCAAACCUGGGAACAUAAUAGGUCACACUGCAAAGAGGAGGGAAGGUUAUAGUUGGAAUUAAGGUUGCAAAUCACUUGAUCUUAAAAUAGGGAGGUAAGCCUGGAUUUUCUGGGUGGGCUCAAUGGAAUUGCCGGGGUCCUCUAAAAGUGGAAGGGGAAGCAGAGGAGAGAGACAGAGUUAGGCAAUGCAACUCACCAUUGGUGGCCCUGAAAAUGGAGGGAAAGCCCAGGAGCCAGGCCAACAAUGGCCUCUGGAAGCUGCAAAAGGCAAGGGAAUGGUUCUCCUCUCUGGUGCGCAGAGACUUGUGCAAGUAGUGCUCAAAACACCACUGACUUCCUGGUCACGUGAAUCAGAAUCUGUGAGUGUGGGUCCUCAGACUCCCAUCCCCCCAGUACAGUCCAGUCUGGCCAGGACUGAGAACCCAUGUGUGCCAGAGCCCCCUGGAAGCCCAGUUUCAAUGCAGGCUACUGCAACCCACUCUUGGGACUCCUCGUUCACUAGGAAUGGGGGAGACCUCAGAAUUUUCUUUUCUUUUUAAAAAAAUUUAACAGGAUACAAUUCACUUUCUGGGCCAGGGAUUUAGCUCAGUGGUUCCACUGCCUGCCUUGCAUGUGCAAGGUCCCAAGUUUGAUCCCCAGUACCAAAAAAAAAGCAUUAGUUCACAUUCUGUUGCGGGUUUUUUUGGUACCGGGGAUCAAACUCAGGACCUUGUACUUGCGAGGCAGGUGCAGUGCCACUGAGCUAAAUCCCCAGCCCUACAAUUCAUAUUCUGUAAUGGCAACUUCUUUAAAGUGGUUAACUUGGUAGUUUUCAGAAUAGUCAGAAGGUUGUGCAACCAUUAGCACUAACUCAUUCUAGAACAUUUUCAUCAUCCCAGAGGAAUCCAUUAGCAGCCACUUCCCAUUCCCCAUUUGCACCAGCAACUGGAAGCCACUAACCUAUUUUCUUUUUUUUUUUUUUUAGUACCAGGGAUCGAACUCAGGACCUUGCACUUGCGAGGCAGGUGGCAGAACCACUGAGCUAAAUCCCUGGCUAACCUAUUUUCUUUCUCCAUAUAUUUUCCUAUUCUGUUCAUUUCAUAUAAACAGAAUCAUAUAAUCUGUAGUCCUUUGUGACUGGCUUCUUUCACUUACCACAGUAUUGUAAUGUGUAUCAGUAUUUCAUUCCCUUUUUAUGGAGGAGUAAUAUUUCCCUGUGGAUCUAUCACAUUCCAUUUAUCUAAAAUGCAUCAGCUGAUGGGUAGCAGGGUUGCUUCUACUUUUUGCCUAUUGAGAAUAAUGCUGCUGUGAACAUUUACAUAGGAGUUUUUGUAUAGCAUACAUAUAUAUUCUCUUGGAAUAUACAUACAGGAAGGACACUGCUGGGUAACAUGCUGACUGCAUUCAUUGAGAAUGAGCUUCUCCAACAAGCUCCCAGAUGAGGCUAAAGUGAGCGGUCUGGGAACCAAGCUGUGAAACCACAAAUCUCAGGAUGCUGGACAACAGUCUCUUCCCUCCUGUGCUCUGCAUGCUUGAUAUCUGGGCUUUGUUGGUCCCUUGGUCUGAAGUGUCUGCCUUUUCAUCCACAUCUUGUGACACCUUAGUCAAGUUUUAGGUUCAUCCCAAGGCCGCCUCCACCAAAAGUCAGUGAAAACAUCAUCUAUCUGUGUGGCUUUCUUGCCCACUGGCUGAACUGUAAGCUCCUUGCGGCCAUUGCUGGUGCUUGAAUCAUUUUGGUAUGAAAGCCUAGAACCCCAGCAUGGUCUCCAUAGAUUGUCGGCACUCAUAUGUUCGAUUGAAUACAAUACCAGGUCUGUUGACUGUUCUCAAGAGAUGACCCUAGAAUGUGUGUCUUGCUUUUUCCAAAUACCUGAUAAGUUCCAACAACUUAGUACUUCCUGGAGACUUCUUACAAGUUCCUCCCCAGAUGGUCUUGUGAUCAGGAGAUAGAAGGUCAAAGUACAAAGAUCCCUUCAUGUUCUAUCAUAGGGAUGGUUUUUGUGAUUGCUUCUUGGACACAGAUGCAAUUGUAGUCUUAGAAGCCAGAAUCUGUGCAGAAUGCUAGUUAGCAAAAUCUUCGUAGCAAAACAUUUCUUCAAAUGUAGAGGAGUGUCUGUCUACAGCUUUUCAGGCAAUUCUCAUAGAUAUUCAUGGAAUAUUGCUACACAACACUUUCCAUUUCCCUAGCAAAGUUGAGAAAUAGCAGAAAUAUGGAAUCAGCCCUCUCCUGACAAACUUGUAAUGAAGGGCUUAGUAGGAAGUACUGCUCAGUACUGAGAUUAAACAUGGAGCUGGCAGCUACACACACCCAUGGGGCUUCCAAAAUAGUCUUCCAAAGGCUGUGUGCACCAGCUUAUAUGUUUAUCCUCCCAGCUUCUCCGGGACCCAGCGCAUGAGUGCAGACUUCAAGUGGCUAGGAAUUCCCUCUCCUCUGGGUAAAAAGCAAAGGACAAGAUUUCCACCACCCUCUCUUGGUGGUGUGGAUGAAACCUCACUUGUCAUGGUGGACAUUUUGGAAAACCAUGGGCCACUUACAUUUCCUGUUGCCCAAUUUCUUCCAAAGUGCUGAAGACUGAAGCCAGGCAGUGUGGCAUUUUCCACACAGUCAUCAUCACUGACAUCUCUUUUCAGGCUCCGGCAGCCUUUCUACCCCAGGGAGGACCGUUUUCUUCCUCAGCAAGGAUCCUGUGAACUUGUGUUCUUCAGCCACUUUCUGUCACAUUUACCCAUCCCAGAGUCUUUUUACAAUAUUUUAUGAUAAAAAUAAUUAUAUUUUAUUUCUUUUUGCUCUAUUUUGAGGUAAGAAAGAUGGUUUCAUGUUUUAUAUCCUUGUAGUAAUUCUGUAAAGAAAACAGUGGAAAAUGAAAAAGCAUGUGGCUUUUUAAAAAACUAAGCUAAAACAGUUAGGCUCUGUGAAGUAGGUUAGAAAACUGUUUAAGCCAGGCACAGUGGUGCACGCCUGUAUCCUAGCACUCUUCGAGGCUGAGGCAGGAGGAUUCCAAAUACAAGUCCAGCCUAGACAAUUUAACAACUUAGAGAGACCCUGUGUAAAAAUAAAAAAGGGGCUGUUGUUGUAGCUCAGUGUGGAGUCCCUGGGUUCAAUGACAGAGAGAGAGAGAGAGAGAGAGAGAGAGAGAGAGAGAGAGAGCUGUUUGAUAUAUAGCUCAGUGCUAUAGAGCACUUGUCUAGCGUCUAGCAUAAAUGAACCCCUGGAACUGAUGCUCAGUAAUACAAAAACACAACACAUAAGCAAACAGAACAAUGGGAAUGGGGGAGAAAGAGGUGAUGAGCUGAGUCACUUUGGAAAGCAGUGUUUUGAUAGCAAACUCCAAGACUAGGGACACUAUACAUGAGCACUGUAUUCUAGUUCAGAACCCUGUUUCUCAGGAGGACACGAGUUAACAAUUCUGAAAUUUUUGUGCAUGGAUUCUGUGGUUGAACAAAUAAAUAAAUGGGCAGCAGAUGGUGGAAACUAGAAUUCUCAUUCAUUCUUGGAAAGAAAGAUGAGAUGCAGGGGAAGGCUAGAAUGGACAGUGUUGAAUUACACUAGAUCUGGAGACAUCGGAAUUAUCAAAUAUUUAGUCUAACAUAGAUAUAGAUGGAUGCAUACUGAAAUACUUGUAGAUACAAGUGUUGGGAGGUGUACACGUGAUCCUAGCUCUGUCCUCUGAGGGAGCCUGGGACCGAUGACACCCAGCAAUAAGUACACCUAGUGUCCCGAUCUUGAUUUUCAAUCCCUUCCUCCAAGGAACUAGGAACCUUGGGAGAAAUGGCUGCUUCCAGGUCUGAGGAUGUGCCAGAUGAGCCUGGGGCACCAUGGAAGGCCACACAAGACCACAGUGCUCAAAACAAAACACUGGAGACAGGAAAGGGACACGGGAGUCAACCGAGCGCUCCUAGAGACCAAAGCUGUCCUUCUGAUCAACAGAAUAAUAACGAUGGGUUCAGAUUAGAAGUAUAAAUCUCAUAAGGCCACACUGCUAAAAUAAAUGAUUGCAAAAAGAAAUAAAUGGAGAAUGUUAGACUCAGCGAAAAAGAACCAACCAGAGACUGAUAUUAAAUCCACACAGGAGUUUAUUACCAGCCGGGACCCGAGCCGAGCAUCAGACUCCAGCCCCAACUGGGGGAGACAAACAUAUUUUAUACACCUUUGAGGCCAACAGUUUCCAGGCCCCACUAUGGGAUAGAACUAGUAAAGCAAGCAAAAGGUACAGAAGCAGAACGUCCUGCUGUUAGAACAUUUGUCAAACAAUAGUUAAUUGUUAUUUCUAAAGGGACCUUUCAAGGGGAGGAGGUUUCUAAGCUUCCUCCUUCUGAGUUCAUCUAAAGGACAGGCAGGUGGGUCAAGCAGCAAUAUGGAGUCUGUCUUGCUAACUAGGGUCCUUCAGAGAAGAAACAAAUACAAGAAAUAAACUGAAGAUUUCACUACUAUUUCUGCUCUGUAAUUCUUCUCUUGACCCUGCUUAGUGUCACUGGACUUCUGGCGUCUAUGGUCUUGUCACUAUGCCCAAUACCUGGGACAGGUCCUGAUCUCCUCUACCCAUCAGUUAUCACGCAGCGACCACCCUGCACCCUAGCUCUGGAGGAAGCCGCUCUUUUCUUUCGGACAUGCUGCUCCUUCCUUGCUCUCACUAGCUGGGGUGUAUCUGUUUACCUUGACCCAUUUUACCAUUAAGUCACGGAGAUGAGUCAGCACUUUUCUUGUUUUCCUUUGCUGCUUCACGCACAACCACCUCCUCUUUGUCAUUUUGUAUGUGCCAGAUAUGGUAAUGGCUUGCACAGUUACUGACAAUAUAUUUUGGUUUUUCAUAUUUCUUUCUAACUGUCUCACCAUAAUUUUGAGAAAUUUCAAAGACAUCCACCUCCUUUUUUAAUUUUUAGAAUAAAGCAAGUUAUAAAUAAAUAUAUACACAUUCAUCUCAUUUUAUGUCCUAUUUCUUCAGUUACUUGUGUGUUUCAAGUCUAAUAAUAUUUACCUCUACUCCUUUGUGGUGACGAUGGUGGUGAUAAUUUUACAGAACAGAUCCCCACUUGCAUUCUGUAUUACUGCAGUAUUUCCCACUCUCAGAACACCAAAUCUUUGCUCUUCCACACCAUAUACUGCCCGCCUUUCCUUCUGUAACCUUUCCUUUCCUCUUGCCCUCAGGCUUCAUUUUUGACUCCUUCCAGCCUGAAACCCAUGGUUUUACCUUUAAUCACUUUACCAAGGCUCUCAGCUCUCCUGCCUCUUUGUCCUUCAGUGACAUUCUAUAAAAUGUCCCCCAUCUUCCUUCCCAAUCCUUUGCCCCAGCCCCAACACCCCAUUGGAAAAAAUCACUUAACUCUUCAUCUGUUGUCUACAUUUUUUGGUGUCUAUUUUCUUUUCAAAACCCCAGAAAUGCCAGGCGUGGUGGGCACGCCUAUAAUCCCAGCACUCAAGAGGCUGAGGCAGGAGAAUUGCUGUGAGUUUGAGGCCAGCCUGGGCUACACAAUGAGUUUAAGGCCAGCCUGAAGUACAUAGCAAGACCCUGUCUCAAAAACCCCCAGAAAUCCUUCCCUACUUUUCUAGUUGCCAUUUUCUCCCAUGCGCUUUACUGGAUGACGUGAGCACGUGACAUUGUAACUGGGUGACACAACAAGACUGAGCUGAGAGUCCUUCAGGCAGCUGUGCUGGGGGCUCCUCCAGGUCAAGGUGGGAAGAACGUGCAAAUGCAUUCUGUGAGUAACAAACGGAUCUGCUGUUGGUACUGGUUUCCUUAAUUACUGCUAGCAGAUUUUGUUUACAAUUUACUAAAGAAAGCAAAGCCAUUGUGGAGAUCUCUGUGUCUCCUGUGCUCCCCGUGUAAACACCUCAACAUCUGCACCUGAACACAAUCCUCUUGUCCUGUGGCCUGGAGCCCCACCCCUCUGUCUACUAGGAACUCAUUCCUCUCCCUCCUGGCAGGGGUCAAGCCAGGCUUGAAGCAUUCCCUUCCCUUCCCUUCCCCUGAAUGGAAACUGGGGCAGGGUAAACAAUAAAGGUAGGUAGAAGGGAGGUAAGGAAAUCCGUAAUUUUAAAAUUGUACUUUAAAAAAACACAGUUUAUAUAUUUUUUCCUUCCAAGCUACUCACUCCUAAAUUCCUAAAUCUUAAAAAAUACAUUAAAUUGGGGGCGUAAUUUUCUCCUCUAAAGUGGGCCCUUGCCUUGUAAACAGGCUCUUGCCUUUCACCUGUAAACUGAGCUGGAUUUCCUCUCUCUACUGUAGAUUCACAAAUUCCACAGAUCUCCACCCCCAACUCCAGCCUGGGACCAUAACCUGCUCUCUUUUGAGGGCCUGCAGGCACUCUAUUCUCUCUGAGUCUGUGAUUUUAAAAUUCCCUAUUAAACCUGUCUAUGCCUCCUACCGAGGUGUCAUGAAAAUUCUUCUUCCGUGACGGGAGUCAGAGAAGCUAUAAUAUGUUUUGUGGGGUGUUAGUGGACGUCCCCAUCUCCUCUUUGAGAAUCCCCCUCAGACCCCAUCUGGUGACAGAAACUAAGGAGAAUCCUCACCGAAGUUCAAGUUCUUUUCAACUAUCUCAUCUCAAAAUGUCUCCAGCAUACCUGAGGGAUGAUGGUAUUGUGCCUCAUGGAAUCUUGAAAACUCCGAAAGAUUUAAGAAUAUGCUUUAUUCUUCUUAUAAGCCUGGCCCUUCAGGGUUGAUAUUUUUCUUGGGAGAUGUCUGAGUAGAGAUGAGGGGAAGUGAGAGGCCACUCCUGCCCUGUGCACGCUGUUCCUGCAGAUGGGCUCCACAGAUGAGUCCUGUCAAUUCCCAGUCCUGUGUCCCUCAGGGCAAGGCCCCUUGGGCAGCUGCUGUGUCUCUCUGCUUCCUCUCCCAGUCCGGCUGACUGAACGAACAAUGGUCCGCUCCUGAGUGUCAUUCUCUCACUCAGCCCUCUCCUCACUGUCACUGCCACCUGUCACUUCCAUCCGCCUCACAUACCUGCUGGGCACUUCCUGCUCCAUCCUUCUCACCAUCUCUGUAAUAUUCAAACCCUGGACUAUGACCACUGCAGAGGAUCUCACCUGGUUUCUCU